CGUGCAGGCGGCCGAUCAAGUCUGAUGUGAAAGCCCGGGGCUUAACCUCGGAAGGGCGUUGGAAACUGGUCGGCUUGAGUUCGGGAGAGGAAAGCGGAAUUCCGGGUGUAGAGGUGAAAUUCGUAGAUAUCCGGAGGAACACCGGUGGUGAAGGCGGCUUUCUGGACCGAAACUGACGCUGAGACGCGAAAGCGUGGGGAGCAAACAGGAUUAGAUACCCUGGUAGUCCACGCUGUAAACGAUGGGCACUAGGUGUGGGGGGUUUUUAAUCCCUCCGUGCCGCAGCUAACGCAUUAAGUGCCCCGCCUGGGGAGUACGGCCGCAAGGUUAAA
rnacentral:rRNA from 1 species